GACGAACGCUGGCGGCGUGCUUAACACAUGCAAGUCGAACGCUGAACCCGCUUCGGUGGGGGAUGAGUGGCGAACGGGUGAGUAACACGUGGGCAACCUGCCCCCGGCUCUGGGAUAACUCCAAGAAAUUGGGGCUAAUACCGGAUGUGACCGCUGGCCGCAUGGUCUGGUGGUGGAAAGGGUUUCCGGCUGGGGAUGGGCCCGCGGCCUAUCAGCUUGUUGGUGGGGUAGUGGCCUACCAAGGCGACGACGGGUAGCCGGCCUGAGAGGGUGACCGACCACACUGGGACUGAGACACGGCCCAGACUCCUACGGGAGGCAGCAGUGGGGAAUAUUGCGCAAUGGGCGGAAGCCUGACGCAGCGACGCCGCGUGGGGGAUGACGGCCUUCGGGUUGUAAACCUCUUUCAGCAGGGACGAAGCGCAAGUGACGGUACCUGCAGAAGAAGCACCGGCCAACUACGUG
rnacentral:rRNA from 1 species